ensembl:lncRNA
AUAAGAACGAUUUUUGCAUUUGGUAGCAUUUGGAGCUUUUGUUGUUUCUCAUCAUGUCAGCGCCAGUAAACCGGGCUAUCAUAACGUUGAAAUAUCAGAACAAAUCAAUCAGUUCUGGUCUAAAUACUUUGAGCUUGUUUAUCUCCGUGUCCGGAACACCGUCCUAUUAGGUGCUCAUUACUUGUACGCCGUUACAUUCCCAGUGGCAACCACACCAUGCAAACAACAUUCUCAUACAUUGCUUGAUUUAAAAGCCAACACACACACACGUACACGUCUUACUAAGCUUCUGAGGACUUUCCAUUGACACAUAAUUAUUCAUGCAGAUAAUGAAUCCCCCCCACCCCCUCCCAUAGAAAUGUGCUGUUUAAAAAAAAUCCUCACUUGUCUCCUUUCCAUUAUUAAUGAGCCCAAAUUAUAAUUGCUCACACAUUUAGUUUUAAAAAAAAAUGAUUGAAUCAUGACAAUGUUUUGCUAAUUAGUAGCUGUGCAUUUUCUUCUGUGACCGUCUGAAUGCCAGUGAAGCACCACACCAUCACGAGGCUGUAAAAUCAGACAAAAUCCAUCGGUUCUAGUCUAAAUACUUCAAUUAAUGCUUGGUUGUGUCCUGAGAAAAUAACCAUCAGGACGGUAUGACUCGCACACUGUAACAUUCCCAGUGACAACUACAUCAUGUACCGUGUUCUCAUUCAUUCACUGGACAUCAGUGACAGGCGUCUCAUUGGCGACUGUCAGGAUCGCAGAUCCUGAUGUAGAAGCCCGUGUCUCCUGCAGCCGCUUAGAGUGUCCUCAGCUUGGCCGGGCAGCCGGCAUGGCAGGUGAGCCGUGUGGUAACAGACGGUGAGCUCGCAGAGAGCUCGGUAUCAACAGAGGAAGUGCAGAUGACCCACUGAGUCAGCAAGCUGCUCCUCCCUUUCCCUCGGUCAUCUGGACCUGCAGCGUGCAGGGAAUAAAGCUGGAACCUCACCAAAUCUAGCACUGUGAAAGUAAACCAGAGACUGUUCUCUUUCUAUAUGUUAUAGAUGGAUUGAUCAAAAAAAAAAUAAAUCAUCAGUUAUAUAGUAUAGUCAUUGGAUAGUGCACUCAUCGAUGUGACGACAUGUACAAAGUAUUGAAGAAUCAAAUUCAAUCACGUCAUCUCUCUAAACACAUAGUGGGGUUUAGUGUACGGUCUCGAGAAUCACCCUGGACUUGUCGUACAGCCUGAAAGCCGUCUGCACGAGGGACAACCUGAUUGGACCACAGCUCAUGUACUAGACAAAGCCCGUGCUAGUGCCGUUGCAACUGGGAGACAGUAUUUUGCACAGCAUGCGGCUUAAUCCUGAAUGCCGUGUGAUUGUUCGGCUGCUGUUCUCCUAUGAUCAGCCUUUAUGUAAUGGGCAGAUUGGAAGCACUAUUUCACUGAACGUAGCAAGAUUUAGUGUGCUCAAUAAACAGAGGUAUAGACUGUAUGGUGCGUAGAACAAUACAUGAGAACGAGUGACCCUGGAUGUCCUCUUAGGCAUGCUGCAGGAAAAGAAAUCUCAGUGCUCUGUGUGGGUAUGUAUGCUACGACUGCAGCAAAAGAUAAACCUCAUCAAGCUCUGUCUCUCAAUAAUGCAUGAUUAAUUAGAAGCCUCUGAAAUAGGAAUAAAUCAAAGAAAGACUGGAAACUGGGGAGCGAGUGAGUCCAUAAAUAGUUUCAGCAGAGGAAGUGCACAGGUUCAUAGACACACACACACACACAAUUGUACAAUGAUUACUAGCCUGAGCAGAUUUGCUGUGUUUAGUAACUCGUUCAGUGUUAUGAGUCAGAAAACAACCUGCGCCAAGAGAAAUGAUGUUUUUCUUUUUUUCUUUUUUACUGCUGCUGAAUUAAUCAUUUUUUUGUCUACAAUUUUCAGUAGAACCUUACAAAUUUUUAACUUGUCAAAAUAUCCAUCCAUCUUCUAUACCGCUCAUCCUUUUCAGGGUCACAGGGAAACCUGGAGUCUAUCCCAGGGAGCAUCGGGCACAAGGCGGGGUAAACCCUGGACAGGGUGCCAAUCCAUCACAGGGCACACAAUCUACGGACACUUUUAGAUGCCAGUCAGACUACCGUGCACGUCUUUGGACUGGGGGAGGAAACCGGAGUACCCGGAGGAAACCCAUGCAUCACGGGGAGAACAUGCGGGAAUCGAACCCCCGACCCUGGCGGUGUGAGGCGAUUUGUUAAUCUGCUUGAUUUACUCUCUAAAAUAUCGUUUCCACAGCUCCUCUCACGUGGCGUGCAGACGUCCGCGCACCUCCAGGACCUGACGAGUCCGUUUUUGUUCACAUACAAUUAUUAAGAUGCCACGAAACCAAAAUCAUCUGGCAAGCUGAGAUAAGCCCGGGGCAGAUGCAAAUGUUGCCACAGCUGGAUACAAAUUUCACCCGUGAGCUUUUAUGGAAGACGUGUUGGUGAUGAAAGAGUGUGAUGUUAAGUUUCACCACACAGCUGUCUCUUUGAAUAUAACUGAUGACUAAAAUUGAUGGCCAGUAUUAUGUUCUUUAUCGUUUUCUCGUUUUCUUCCAGUGUUUAAUAACAGCUGCAAGGCACCAUAAUGGCAAAAAAAGUGCUUCCCUAAAUGUGUCCCGAGUGUUCCUUUGAGCACCUUGUGCACAGAUGUUGAACAUGCUAAAUUUAUAUUCUAAAGCUGUCUCAUACGCACUGACACUGCAACCAAUAGUUACGACCAGAUCUGAAUCUUCUUAUUUACACCACUGUGAUUUUGAAUUCUCAAACCUGAUUGGUCAAAAGGUGCUGCUUUAUUUUUCUAUACCAACUGCCUUGACAAUAACAAAAACAAAAAUACACAACAAUAACAACAACAACAAAAAAGCAUUUAAGUGUACUUGUCUACUAAAUUCUACAACAUGUGAAAUAAAUUUUAAUUAUACUCUUUAUUUUAAUUAUACUAACGAUACACAUAAAGUGGGGUCCAAACGUCUGAGACAACAAUUUUUUAAAUAUUAAUUUAAAACUGGAAUUAAACCGAAAGUUUGAGAAGUUUGAAAAUUCGAAAACAAAAAAGGAACUGUGCAACAUCUUGACUAUUCAAUAUUUAAGAUGUUGCACAAUUUCUAGGUUGCGAUUUAAAUAUGAGCAAAUUUGUGAUAUUGACCAUGUUAACUCCUUUAUACAAAAGGAGUAUUAUCCCAUGAGUAUCCCUUCCACUGAAGCAUGCAUUCAGACGAAACAGCUGGGGUUGAAACGGAUGGAUUUGAUCUAACAUGGAUGAUCAGGUUUAACACAAACUUGUAGAAGCAAAAAGGG